rnacentral:tRNA from 1 species
CAAAGGGUAGUUUAAUAAAAAUUUUAAUUUUGGAGAUUAAAGAUAAAGUUUCUUUUCCUUUGA